CCCCACAUUGGAACUGAGACACGGUCCAAACUCCUACGGGAGGCACCAGUGAGGAAUAUUGGUCACUGGACGAGAGUCUGAACCAGCCAAGUAGCGUGAAGGAUGACUGCCCUAUGGGUUGUAAACUUCUUUUAUAAAGGAAUAAAGUCGGGUAUGCAUACCCGUUUGCAUGUACUUUAUGAAUAAGGAUCGGCUAACUCCGUGCCAGCAGCCGCGGUAAUACGGAGGAUCCGAGCGUUAUCCGGAUUUAGCGGGUUUAAAGGGAGCGUAGAUGGAUGUUUAAGUCAGUUGUGAAAGUUUGCGGCUCAACCGUAAAAUUGCAGUUGAUACUGGAUGUCUUGAGUGCAGUUGAGGCAGGCGGAAUUCGUGGUGUAGCGGUGAAAUGCUUAGAUAUCACGAAGAACUCCGAUUGCGAAGGC
rnacentral:rRNA from 1 species